rnacentral:rRNA from 1 species
GAUGAACGCUGGCGGCGUGCCUAAUACAUGCAAGUCGAGCGAACAGACGAGGAGCUUGCUCCUCUGACGUUAGCGGCGGACGGGUGAGUAACACGUGGAUAACCUACCUAUAAGACUGGGAUAACUUCGGGAAACCGGAGCUAAUACCGGAUAAUAUAUUGAACCGCAUGGUUCAAUAGUGAAAGACGGUUUUGCUGUCACUUAUAGAUGGAUCCGCGCCGCAUUAGCUAGUUGGUAAGGUAACGGCUUACCAAGGCGACGAUGCGUAGCCGACCUGAGAGGGUGAUCGGCCACAUUGGAACUGAGACACGGUCAAGACUCCUACGGGAGGCAGCAGUAGGGAAUGUUCCGCAAUGGGCGAAAGCCUGACGGAGCAACGCCGCGUGAGUGAUGAAGGUCUUCGGAUCGUAAAACUCUGUUAUUAGGGAAGAACAAAUGUGUAAGUAACUAUGCACGUCUUGACGGUACCUAAUCAGAAAGCCACGGCUAACUACGUG